CUACGUUCGGAAGGGAUAACCGCUGAAAGCAUCUAAGCGGGAAGCCUGCUCCAAGAUAAGCAUUCCGUGCAGCCUCGAGCUGCUGUAGUCCCCAUGCAGAACACGUGGUCGAUAGGCCGGACGUGGAAGCCCCGCGAGGGGUGGAGCCGACCGGUACUAACGGACGAAAGGCA
rnacentral:rRNA from 1 species